CUGUCUCCACCCGAGACUCAGUGAAAUUGAAAUCGCUGUGAAGAUGCAGUGUAUCCGCGGCUAGACGGAAAGACCCCGUGAACCUUUACUGUAGCUUUGCACUGGACUUUGAGCCUGCUUGUGUAGGAUAGGUGGGAGGCUUUGAAGCGUGGACGCCAGUUCGCGUGGAGCCAUCCUUGAAAUACCACCCUGGCAUGCUUGAGGUUCUAACUCUGGUCCGUUAUCCGGAUCGAGGACAGUGUAUGGUGGGCAGUUUGACUGGGGCGGUCUCCUCCUAAAGAGUAACGGAGGAGUACGAAGGUGCGCUCAGACCGGUCGGAAAUCGGUCGUAGAGUAUAAAGGCAAAAGCGCGCUUGACUGCGAGACAGACACGUCGAGCAGGUACGAAAGUAGGUCUUAGUGAUCCGGUGGUUCUGUAUGGAAGGGCCAUCGCUCAACGGAUAAAAGGUACUCCGGGGAUAACAGGCUG
rnacentral:rRNA from 1 species